rnacentral:ncRNA from 13 species
CGCACAAGGGUGGGGCAUGGUGCCCCGUCAGGCCGACCACCAAAGGCCGGGGCUCAAAAGGGAAUGCGGUGCGGGCAGAUCCAGACCGGAGGCCCAAAUCCGCAGCCGCCCCCGCGACUGUCAGCGGAGAGCGGCCUGCCACUCAGCCACUGGGGACACCCGGGAAGGCGGCAGGUUGCAUCGACCCGCGAGCCAGGAGACCUGCCAUGCGCCACGGCCCCGAC